rnacentral:ncRNA from 1 species
GAAAUGCAUCUCGACGAAGGCUGGCACCUUCACCAACCUGCCCCACUGCGGCAAGGUGGUUCCACAAAAGUGGGAUGUGGCCGUUGUUAGUGGCAAACUUGGCAGAGCGG